rfam:Schistosoma mansoni strain Puerto Rico chromosome 4, complete genome
GCACUGCUGAGGAGUUCCGUAAUAGGACGAAACGGCCGUCCAGUGC